rnacentral:rRNA from 1 species
CAGCCGCCGCGGUAAUAUGUAGGGUGCAAGCGUUGUCCGGAAUUAUUGGGCGUAAAGAGCUCGUAGGCGGUUUGUCGCGUCUGCUGUGAAAACCCGAGGCUCAACCUCGGGCCUGCAGUGGGUACGGGCAGACUAGAGUGCGGUAGGGGAGAUUGGAAUUCCUGGUGUAGCGGUGGAAUGCGCAGAUAUCAGGAGGAACACCGAUGGCGAAGGCAGAUCUCUGGGCCGUAACUGACGCUGAGGAGCGAAAGCAUGGGGAGCGAACAGGAUUAGAUACCCCUGUAGUCCCUGUCUCUUAUAC